GGGGGGGGGGGGCGGCGGGCCGGGGGCAUGCGAGGCGAGCGAGCGGACGAGAGGCUUGCUUCUCUGAUGUUAGCGGCGGACGGGUGAGUAACACGUGGAUAACCUACCUAUAAGACUGGGAUAACUUCGGGAAACCGGAGCUAAUACCGGAUAAUAUUUUGAACCGCAUGGUUCACAAGUGAAAGACGGUCUUGCUGUCACUUAUAGAUGGAUCCGCGCUGCAUUAGCUAGUUGGUAAGGUAACGGCUUACCAAGGCAACGAUGCAUAGCCUACCUGAGAGGGUGAUCGGCCACACUGGAACUGAGACACGGUCCAGACUCCUACGGGAGGCAGCAGUAGGGAAUCUUCCGCAAUGGGCGAAAGCCUGACGGAGCAACGCCGCGUGAGUGAUGAAGGUCUUCGGAUCGUAAAACUCUGUUAUUAGGGAAGAACAUAUGUGUAAGUAACUGUGCACAUCUUGACGGUACCUAAUCAGAAAGCCACGGCUAACUACGUG
rnacentral:rRNA from 1 species